CCUACGGGUGGCAGCAGUGGGGAAUAUUGCACAAUGGGCGCAAGCCUGAUGCAGCCAUGCCGCGUGUGUGAAGAAGGCCUUCGGGUUGUAAAGCACUUUCAGCGGGGAGGAAGGCGGUGAGGUUAAUAACCUCAUCGAUUGACGUUACCCGCAGAAGAAGCACCGGCUAACUCCGUGCCAGCAGCCGCGGUAAUACGGAGGGUGCAAGCGUUAAUCGGAAUUACUGGGCGUAAAGCGCACGCAGGCGGUCUGUCAAGUCGGAUGUGAAAUCCCCGGGCUCAACCUGGGAACUGCAUUCGAAACUGGCAGGCUAGCGUCUUGUAGAGGGGGGUAGAAUUCCAGGUGUAGCGGUGAAAUGCGUAGAGAUCUGGAGGAAUACCGGUGGCGAAGGCGGCCCCCUGGACAAAGACUGACGCUCAGGUGCGAAGGCGUGGGGAGCAAACAGGAUUAGAUACCCGAGUAGUC
rnacentral:rRNA from 1 species